AACGAACGCUGGCGGCGUGCCUAACACAUGCAAGUCGAACGGGAUUCGGAGCUUGCUCCGAUGAGAGUGGCGCACGGGUGAGUAACGCGUAGAUAAUCUGCCUGAUGAUCUGGGAUAACAGUUCGAAAGGACUGCUAAUACCGGAUAAGCCCACGGAGACCUUGGUCUUUGCGGGAAAAGGGGGGGAUCUUCGGGCCUUCCGUCAUCAGUUGAGUUUGCGUACCAUUAGCUAGUUGGUAGGGUAAAGGCCUACCAAGGCGACGAUGGUUAGCUGGUCUGAGAGGAUGAUCAGCCACACUGGAACUGAGACACGGUCCAGACUCCUACGGGAGGCAGCAGUGGGGAAUUUUGCGCAAUGGGGGAAACCCUGACGCAGCAACGCCGCGUGAGUGAUGAAGGCUCUUGGGUCGUAAAGCUCUGACAGAGGGAAAGAAGUGUAUGGUGGUUAAUACCCAUUGUACUUGACGGUACCCUCAAAGGAAGCACCGGCUAACUCCGUGCCAGCCGCCGCCGUAACAC
rnacentral:rRNA from 1 species